UAGACUACUAUAACUAAUAUUGUUUUAUCUCUGUCUAUCACUAAUAGACACUGAUAGACUACUAUAACUGAUUAUGCUAGUUUUUUCCUCUGAUAAUUUAACUUUUGUUCCCUUGUAGUUUUGCAUGAAACUACUGCAUCCAACAGAAGAGGAAUGUUAAUCAAUUUUCAAAUAUCUCAUAGAAGGUGAGGCAGAGGAGGAGAAAGAGAGGGAAAAAAAUAAGGAGAAAGAGAGAAAAAUGAAUGAAGAAAAGAAUGAACAAAUUCAUGAAGAAGAAGCAAAUAGGAUAAUGAAAGAAAUGAGUGAAUUAAGAAAAUGCCAACCGAAAAUAGUAGAAGAACAACAACUUUUUAAACAAGGACAAUAAGAAAUCAAAACAAUUUUGAGGUCAAUUAUGGAGACCUUGAAUUGUAGACUUCUAUUAGAAAAUCUUCCACAAAAAUAAGAGAUUGAAGAAGGUGUGGAAAAAAAUAAAGCGUCUUCUCUUAGCCUUCGAAUAUUAGAAGAAAGUCAUGAUCUUGAUACAAUGGUUGACGUUGCAUAUUUAUCUGGGAUCUAAGUUGAAAAUGAGAGUCAAAGGGAAAGGAAAAGAGAGGAAACUGAGAUGCAAACACAACAACUUGAAACAGAAGACGAUUUGGAUCUAAUUCCAACUACAGAUUUGGAAACACCAAAAACACAAUUAUUGCUUGGUGUUUGAUUCUUUUCUUAAUCUACUUAUUGUUCAAACACAAGAGAUAAGACGGUGAUAGUCCCCUAUAACUUUUUAUUUCAGAUAGACAAUCUCACAAAGACUCUGAUAGAGGUCUAUCACUGUCUAUCUCAGUUAGAUAGUGAUAGUCGUCCUUUAUCACUGUCUAUCUAGGAUAAAUAGAGAUAGAGCACUACCAGUAUCUAUCUGAGAUAGAUUUUCUAUCAUUUAGGAUAGAUAGAGAUAGAACACUAUCUCUGUCUAUCUGAGAUAAACCGAGAUAAAAUACUAUCUCUGUCUAUCCAAGAUAGAUAGUGAUAAUCCUUUAUCACCGUCUAUCUAAUACACACAGGUGAUUCUUACUUUCUAUCAUAUGCUACAAGUAGAUGAAGAUGAAGAAGACAAUGAAACUAAAACUAAAAAGGAAGAAGAUGAGGUUGAAGAAGAUAUUGAAAAAGAUAAAGAAGAACAAGAAACUGAAGUAGAAGUUGAACCAGAAGAAAAUCAAAAAAGAGAAAGAAGAUCUAAACAUAGAAAUGAGAAAAAGGUUAAUAUGGUUGUUUAUAUACAUGAUGAUAGAAAUGAUAGUUCAAUGUUCUUCUUAUGAACUCCAAUAUCUUCUUGCAGUAAAUCAAUGAAGAAAAGCAAAUUGAGAAAGAGAAAGAAGAUGAAAAGCAAGUAGAAGAAGAGCAAGAGAAAGUAGAUGAAGAGCAACUAGGAGAAGACCAAGAGAAAGUAAAUGCAGAUCAAGUAGAAGAUAAGCAAAAUGAGGAGGAACAAGUUGAAGAAGAGCACAAGGAAGAUACUGAUAAGGAAGAUAGUGAAAAGAUUUGCUUUCAGAACAAGAGACCAAAGAGAAACUCGAAGCGGAAUCAAAUUGUUGAUGUGGAAGAUGAAAUAGAAGAAGAAACUGAUAGUGAAGAGAAUACAGAUAAAGAGAUUCAAAUAAAAGGAAAAAAGAGAAAACAGAAGGGAAAGUAGCAAGAGCGGGGUAAGCGUAAAAAGUUUAGACCAAUGGUGCUAGAAGACAUACACUUUAAAAAAGAGAGACCAAAAAGAUAGCGAAAACCAACCAUAAAAACAUAUGCAAAGAAUAUUAGGAAGAAAACUGAGAAGAAGAAUGAAGUACAACCCCGAACUUUAACUCAAGAAUAUGAAAAAUUGAUGACGGACACUACUCCAAGCUUUAGCUUGAACAUUUCUCAAACUCAAUCUCAACCUAAAUGCCAAUCUCAA